GCGUUGUUCGUAUUCAUUGGGCGUAAAGUGUGCGUAGGUGGCGGGGUAAGUCAGGUGUGAAAUUUCGGAGCUCAACUCCGAAACUGCAUUUGAUACUGCCUUGCUUGAGGACUGGAGAGGAGACUGGAAUUUACGGUGUAGCAGUGAAAUGCGUAGAGAUCGUAAGGAAGACCAGUGGCGAAGGCGGGUCUCUGGACAGUUCCUGACACUGAGGCACGAAGGCCAG
rnacentral:rRNA from 1 species